AACGGCAGCAUGAAACCGGCCUAAAGAAAUGGAACCUGAAAUAUAUUAUGUUACAAUUUAUGACCUUGACAGCUUACAGAAAACACUUUGAGGAGAUUCUCGAUACCACCGCCACCUGUGCUUCUUGAUGGCGUAGCUGAGGGAGGCGCUUUCGACGGAGCAAGCAUCCUUAAUCUUAUUUACCCACCUAACGUCAGGCUGUGCGGAUGUUUCAUCUGUUCUCCCAGUUUGAUGCAGCACAUGUUGUGAGAUGCUGAAAAGAGAAAGAUCCAUUCAAUAUAUAUAUUCUGAAGAUGAAUAGUUCAUAAUUAAAGGAAAGAGAUAAUGGGUAUAUGUAAAUAAAAAGAUUGCGACAAACUUCUUUGACUGAUUACUAACAUACAACUUCUAAAAUAUGUAACACGAUUUAUUUCAGAAUCGUGACUUUAUAAUGAUGGA